rnacentral:rRNA from 1 species
AGCGGAUGAGUGGAGCUUGCUCCAUGAUUCAGCGGCGGACGGGUGAGUAAUGCCUAGGAAUCUGCCUGGUAGUGGGGGACAACGUUUCGAAAGGAACGCUAAUACCGCAUACGUCCUACGGGAGAAAGUGGGGGAUCUUCGGACCUCACGCUAUCAGAUGAGCCUAGGUCGGAUUAGCUAGUUGGUGAGGUAAAGGCUCACCAAGGCGACGAUCCGUAACUGGUCUGAGAGGAUGAUCAGUCACACUGGAACUGAGACACGGUCCAGACUCCUACGGGAGGCAGCAGUGGGGAAUAUUGGACAAUGGGCGAAAGCCUGAUCCAGCCAUGCCGCGUGUGUGAAGAAGGUCUUCGGAUUGUAAAGCACUUUAAGUUGGGAGGAAGGGCAGUAAGUUAAUACCUUGCUGUUUUGACGUUACCAACAGAAUAAGCACCGGCUAACUUCUGCCACGA